rnacentral:rRNA from 1 species
UACAGAGGGUGCAAGCGUUGUUCGGAAUUAUUGGGCGUAAAGCGCGUGUAGGCGGCUUUGCAAGUCGGGUGUGAAAGCCCUCAGCUACAACUGAGGAAGUGCGCCCGAAACUGCAGAGCUUGAGUACCGGAGAGGAUGGCGGAAUUCCCCAAGUAGAGGUGAAAUUCGUAGAUAUGGGGAGGAACACCGGUGGCGAAGGCGGCCAUCUGGACGGAUACGUGACGCUGAGACGGCGAAAGCGUGGGGAGCAAACAGG